rnacentral:misc_RNA from 1 species
AAGUCGUAACAAGGUUUCCGUAGGUGAACCUGCGGAAGGAUCAUUAACACAAAAAACAAUCCCAUAUCCACCCUUUUUUAUAACGAACUCUGGUUACAAUACCAUUGUCUCUUCUUUAUCCAACCUUUUAUUUUUACCCCAACUUUUAUAACCAAAAUGCAAUAGACUGAUAUUUAUUUAUCAUCCUUAAAAAAUGAUAUGUAAAACAACUCUUAGCAACGGAUAUCUUGGCUCUC